UACGUAGGUGGCAAGCGUUUGUCCGGAUUUACUGGGCGUAAAGAGCGCGCAGGCGGUCGUUCAAGUCGCGUGUGAAAGCCCCCGGCUCAACUGGGGAGGGUCACGCGAUACUGAUCGACUCGAAGGCAGGAGAGGGAAGUGGAAUUCCCGGUGUAGUGGUGAAAUGCGUAGAUAUCGGGAGGAACACCAGUGGCGAAGGCGACUUCCUGGCCUGUUCUUGACGCUGAGGCGCGAAAGCGUGGGGAGCGAACAGG
rnacentral:rRNA from 1 species